rnacentral:rRNA from 1 species
GACAGAGGUGGCAAGCGUUGUUCGGAAUCACUGGGCUUAAAGGGCGCGUAGGUGGCAGUGCAAGUCUGAUGUGGAAUCCUAUGGCUUAACCAUAGAACUGCAUUGGAAACUGUGCUGCUUGAGUCAGUGAGGGGAGGGUAGAAUUCCUGGUGUAGCGGUGAAAUGCGUAGAUAUCAGGAGGAAGGCCGGUGGCGAAGGCGGCCCUCUGGCGCUGAACUGACACUGAGGCGCGAAAGCGUGGGGAG